UCAUUAUAUCACAAACUUGUCAACUCGCCUUUUAUUUUUCUGUUCAAGUGCGAUCACAUUAAGUAUGUUAUCUUUUACACUUAUAGUAGGAAGAUCUGUUAGUGACUUUGGUCUUUCUUUUACCUUUGGUUUCUCAGUUCGGGGGUUGAUUAUACCAUCUAAGUGGUUGAAGCCCCAUCCCAAAUUGUAAUCGGGGGGAUCGGACCAUAGUCCUCCCUACCAAGUGUAGCGCCAAAUACCACUAAACCAACUGUCGUACCCCAAAAC
rnacentral:lncRNA from 1 species